UACAGAGGGUGCGAGCGUUAAUCGGAUUUACUGGGCGUAAAGCGCGCGUAGGUGGUUAAUUAAGUCAAAUGUGAAAUCCCCGAGCUUAACUUGGGAAUUGCAUUCGAUACUGGUUAGCUAGAGUAUGGGAGAGGAUGGUAGAAUUCCAGGUGUAGCGGUGAAAUGCGUAGAGAUCUGGAGGAAUACCGAUGGCGAAGGCAGCCAUCUGGCCUAAUACUGACACUGAGGUGCGAAAGCAUGGGGAGCAAACAGGAUUAGAUACCCUGGUAGUCCAUGCCGUAAACGAUGUCUACUAGCCGUUGGGGGAUUUGAUCCUUUAGUGGCGCAGCUAACGCGAUAAGUAGACCGCCUGGGGAGUACGGUCGCAAGACUAAAACUCAAAUGAAUUGACGGGGGCCCGCACAAGCGGUGGAGCAUGUGGUUUAAUUCGAUGCAACGCGAAGAACCUUACCUGGCCUUGACAUAGUAGAAACUUUCCAGAGAUGGAAAGGUGCCUUCGGGAAUCUACAUACAGGUGCUGCAUGGCU
rnacentral:rRNA from 1 species